UACGGGGGGGAGCAAGCGUUGUUCGGAUUUACUGGGCGUAAAGGGCGCGUAGGCGGCCUCUGCAAGUCGACUGUGAAAUCUCCGGGCUUAACCCGGAACGGUCAGCCGAUACUGCAGGGCUAGAGUGCAGAAGGGGCAACCGGAAUUCUCGGUGUAGCGGUGAAAUGCGUAGAUAUCGAGAGGAACACCUGCGGCGAAGGCGGGUUGCUGGGCUGACACUGACGCUGAGGCGCGAAAGCUAGGGAGCGAACGGG
rnacentral:rRNA from 1 species